CGAGGCGAGUGAGGGAGCCCGACCGGAGUAGCCGACAUUGGCGAGAGGCAGGAUCUCCGCUGGUGCCGACGUCGACGGUAGGGCUGAGAGGCCAGAAGGCAGUAGUUGGGCCUGAUGGCGACCCCCAGUACCUGAUCCGGGUAAUGCCGGCGCAGGGAACCCGUCUCGUAGGUCG
rnacentral:ncRNA from 1 species